GUGCCUGUAUAUAUGUCGCACGCGCAGUAUUAAAUAAAAUUUAAACACCGGACGGGAAAAAUGCACAAAACGGCGACAAAAUCGAGAACAAAACUGCCAGAGUGACCGUGUACGCGCACUGAGAACAUACCACAGCACCCAGAAGCCUUAACAGUUAAGGGAAGCACUUGUUAAAUUCAUAAAAUGGCUCGCAGGCUUUUAUUGAACCAAAUAUUUAUCAAAAUAAGGUGAAGUUUCCGUAAAGCAUGAAAUUUGUAGUUAUUAUAAAUAUGUAUAUUAUUAUAAAUUUAUUAAGU
ensembl:ncRNA lncRNA:CR45165 long non-coding RNA:CR45165